GAUGAACGCUAGCGGCAGGCUUAACACAUGCAAGUCGAGGGGCAGCACGAUGUAGCAAUACAUUGGUGGCGACCGGCGCACGGGUGCGUAACACGUAUGGAACUUGCCCUUUACUGGAGGAUAGCCCGGAGAAAUCCGGAUUAAUACUCCAUAACAGUCGAGGUGGCAUCACCUUGGCUCGAAAGCUCCGGCGGUAAAGGAUGGCCAUGCGCACGAUAGCUAGUUGGUGAGGUAACGGCUCACCAAGGCUACGAUCGUUAGGGGGCCUGAGAGGGUUAUCCCCCACACUGGUACUGAGACACGGACCACGACUCCUACCGGGAGGGCAGCAGUGGAGGAAGUAUUGCGCAAUGGAGGCAACUCUGACGCAGCCAUGCCGCGUG
rnacentral:rRNA from 1 species